rnacentral:rRNA from 1 species
CCUACGGGAGGCAGCAGUGGGGAAUUUUGGACAAUGGGGGCAACCCUGAUCCAGCCAUGCCGCGUGUCUGAAGAAGGCCUUCGGGUUGUAAAGGACUUUUGUCCGGGAAGAAAAGCGCGAUGUUAAUACCAUUGCGUGCUGACGGUACCGGAAGAAUAAGCACCGGCUAACUACGUGCCAGCAGCCGCGGUAAUACGUAGGGUGCGAGCGUUAAUCGGAAUUACUGGGCGUAAAGCGGGCGCAGACGGUUACUUAAGCAGGAUGUGAAAUCCCCGGGCUCAACUUGGGAAUUGCGUUCUGAACUGGGUGGCUAGAGUGUGUCAGAGGGGGGUAGAAUUCCACGUGUAGCAGUGAAAUGCGUAGAGAUGUGGAGGAAUACCGAUGGCGAAGGCAGCCCCCUGGGAUGGCACUGACGUUCAUGCCCGAAAGCGUGGGUAGCAAACAGGAUUAGAUACCCUGGUAGUCCACGCCCUAAACGAUGUCGAUUAGCUGUUGGGCAACUUGAUUGCUUGGUAGCGAAGCUAACGCGUGAAAUCGACCGCCUGGGGAGUACGGUCGCAAGAUUAAAACUCAAAGGAAUUGACGG